UAGGCCCUGAAUCAAGACCAGUGGUUUAUCAUAGCUACUGGUUUCAAACAGGAGCCAAGAGCAGUGUCUUCCUGUUGUCCGCUGGCCAUUCAGGACCCCAGUGGGAAUGACCAAUUCAAUUAGAGGAAACAGCU